GAUGAACGCUGGCGGCGUGCCUAAUACAUGCAAGUCGAGCGAACAGACGAGGAGCCUUCUCCUCUGACGUUAGCGGCGGACGGGUGAGUAACACGUAGAUAACCUACCUAUAAGACUGGGAUAACUUCGGGAAACCGGAUCUAAUACCGGAUAAUAUAUUGAACCUCAUGGUUCAAUAGUGAAAGACGGUUUUGCUGUCACUUAUAGAUGGAUCCGCGCCGCAUUAGCUAGUUGGUAAGGUAACGGCUUACCAAGGCAACGAUGCGUAGCCGACCUGAGAGGGUGAUCGGCCACACUGGAACUGAGACACGGUCCAGACUCCUACGGGAGGCAGCAGUAGGGAAUCUUCCGCAAUGGGCGAAAGCUUGACGGAGCAACGCCGCGUGAGUGAUGAAGGUCUUCGGAUCGUAAAACUCUGUUAUUAGGGAAGAACAAAUGUGUAAGUAACUAUGCACGUCUUGACGGUACCUAAACAGAAAGCCGCGGCUAACUACGUG
rnacentral:rRNA from 1 species